rnacentral:lncRNA from 1 species
CUUUCUUUUCUCUUUCUAGAGCUGGUGAGAGAGUGGUCGUUCAAAUCCUGACAAACUAUCGCAAUGUUCCCUUUUAAAGCACCUGAAUCCUGAAAACUCUUUUCUUAAUAUCUUUUGCAAAGACUGACUCACCACAUCAUUUUUUUCUAGACACUCACCUACUGCCCCAUGAAAGACUAGUACCGUUACAUGUGUCGACUCACCUUCUCCCCUCUGAGGUUCGUGACGCCUCUGAGGAGUAGGUAGCAUACCGUUAGGGUUACAAGAAAACCGGGCUCUAAUACUAGUUGUCAAACCCCACCCUAGGAGUCCCAGUCAAACCACUAGUUCAACCGAUGAGUCUUACUCAGUUUUUAACUUGAACCACACUCAACUCUAGGCUACUAAUAAAAACAUUAAGACAAGCAUUAACAGCUUAAACUGAACACUUCAAUAAAAUUGACAAACUAGGAUCCGAAAUCCCAAAACACAACAAAUCAAAAAGAGAUGCAACUCCAGUUUAAAAAUACAUAAAAAUUAUAUCCUCUAAUAUAUAAAAACCAACCAGCUUUCUCCCCUCCAUCAGCUCCAAUACCUGUGACUGAACACAUAGAUAUGCCAAGAAAAACAAGUCUAAUGGGGUUAGUGAUAACCAUUGAGUGGCUAAACUAGGCUCGCAUAAAACUGCAACUAUACUAAGAAAAUAGGGCAAGAAUCAAGUAAUGUGACUCUGCGGUCCUGUAGGGAUCAUCCUAUCAAUAGUCACCCCUAACUAGUAGCUGAUAGCCUCAUGAAGGAUCAUACCAUGAAACCACCCGUUGAUACCGUGUGAGCAGCAUCUGUACGCAUACUCCACACAUCUUGCAUGACCGUAGAAACAUCCUGGGGGAUUUUGCAAUCCAUGGGUGGGUGACCAACACACAUAAGGAGCUAAUCUAGCUAAAUCUGAAUUUUGUCCUAAGCAUGAACUGUGAACCACAGUUCAAAUGUCAUGAGCUUAUGCUCGAACUUAAACAACUACCUGUUCAGUAGAUCACACGCUACUGCACAGUGUAUGAGCCCGACUCUGUUUCAUAACCCAUGUAUAGUAGAUGACACGCUAUUGCACAGUCUUGAGAGCCCGGCUCCGAAACACAACACAUGUACCGUAGAUCACACGCUACUGUACAGUCCUGAGAAUCCGAUCAUCGCAUUCCUGACAAUCCUAAUUACAGUUAUAUGCUUAAGUCAAAAAGUAAUCCUAACCCUCACCUAUUAAGAAGGGAUGGCAUUUCUGAUUCUCACUUGACAUGAUUCCUCUCACUGCCACUAAUCUAUAGCUUCUGACCGUGCAUCAUUUGGAGUUUAACCAAUUGAGUUAUACUCCAUUUACUUGUAGCAAUCUGAAACUUGCUAGGACAGAAACGUGGCGCUAAUCCUCCAACUGCCUCCAUUACACUAACUGAUCCAAAACUUCUACUCAUUGACAAAACUAACCCAAGUCCUUAACUAUAAAACAUCCAAAAGUUCAAAGUUGCUAAAGGUCCUCAACGCGUCCUACACACCACCAAAGCCGUUGCACCCUUGCCGAACGCGGAUGGCGCCACCGCUACUGCUAUUCCUAAAGCUCCGCCUUGAAUCUCCUCAAUCUCCUCCGAAAUAGUGAUCGGCACCGCCACAACUCCAUCCUCGUUUGCCCUCGAUCGAUGGAAUUCAAAAUCCUCACCUCUUGGCGUCAAAACUAAUGGCAACAAGUAACUUACCCUGCUCAUCGUCUCAGUGCAUCACCAGUUAGAUCAUGGAAGGGAAGUUAAACCAUUCUCCCACUUGAUGGUAAUGGGGCCCAACUCCACAAUCUGAUCCAUCAUACGGCCCAAGGCCCACCUCAACUUUAAUUGGACUCAAGGCCAUAAUUUAAGCCUAGGGUGGCAGUCCUCACCCUUCACUUGAAUGGUUCAAGUCCUAUCCAGAGCUAUAAAAUCAAUCUAACGGUCUAGAAAUCUUCGAGUUCAUAACUAACAAUUCACAGGCUUAACCCCUCUUCUGAUGGACUUAGUCAACCCAAUAACUAUCUCGAGCCUUACAAAUCUUUAAUACUUGGUCAAUUGCUGAGUCAACUCAUCAAAUUAAUUAAAUUAAUUCAUUUUUCAACUUCCGACUUCUACUCAACGAGUAAGUUUUGAAUCAAAAAAAAUUUUAACCGAACCAAAAAUUGAGGUGUCACAAUUGUCUACAGUAUGCUUAGCUUAUACAUGUGAUGGUUAGACAGUUAUGUUCAUGUUUCUACUUGAUGAUGUGAAAUUCAUUAAACUAAGAUAAGUUGUUAAACUAUAAUAAGUCCUUAAAUUAUGAUAAGUCAUGUUCAUGAGAUCCAUGUUAUGGCAUGUCUUUUUUCCAGGAUUAAUGCUCCCAUUAUGUCCAUCAUAUUCAUGUUACGGUUAGGUAGUUAUGUCAUGUUAUGUAUUAUUUAAUGAUGUGCAAGUUGUACCCUCGAAUUAUGAUAAGUCAUGUCAUGUCUCCCUGAUAAGGGUUUAUCUCAUUUUCAUGUGAUCCAUGUUAUGGUUAAGUGGUUAUGUCAUGAUAUGUUGGGUUAUUACAUGAUGAUGUGCAAGAUGUGCCUUGAAUUAUGAUAAGGCUAGACUACUUCAAGGUUAGGGUGUGAUAUGUCUACAUGACUAGUGAGUAGUGAAUAAGUACACGUUACUUAGACAAGUAAUGUGUAUUAGAAACAUGUAACUUUCUGGCUAGACCACCACCCCCUAUGUUGUGAUCUCAUGGUACCGUCUGAUGGAUACAUACUCACGGACUCUCACGUUCACGUUUGGGCCGGUAUUGCCCCUCAUGUUACCGUCUGACUGAUACGUACUCGCAGACUCUCACGUUCAUAUUUGGGCUGAUAUUGCCCCAUGUUUCUCACGUUUGGGCCACAUUUUUCCCCUUAUGUUACCGUCUGAUGGAUACAUAGUCCCAAACUCUCACGUUCACAUUUGGGUGUUGGACUAGUUAGUUGAGUUGGGGGGGGACGUCCCGCUAUUGAAAGUUCAAGUGAUAAGAUACCUCAGAUAAGUUCAUGUACAAGUAUGUCAAGUUCAAGGGAUAAGAUAACUUAGAUAAGAUCAAGUAUAAGAUUCAAUGUUAUGUGUUUUCAUGUUCGCUAAGUGAUGUUGGUGAUAAUGACCACCUGAUAUGAUAUGUUCAGUGAUUGUCAUGUGCUGAUGUGUUGUGAUAUGUUCAAAUGUUUCUUAGAUGUGAUAACUAUGUGUUGGGAUAAAUAUUCAUGUAAUGAUGUGUUCCUUAUGUUCCAAUGUGCCAUGGAUUUGAUGACUAGUUGUGAUCAAUAUUCAUGCAGUGAUGUGUUCCUUAUGUUCCAAUGUUCCUUUAGAAUGGAUUAGAGGUUCAACCUUUGAUGAUGACUAUGUUACUUGCCAUGUUGAGUUCUCAUGUGUUAGGAUUACACAAAGAUGGAUACUAUAUCUUAUAUGCCUACUUAGCUAGUAUCAAUGAUGCCUUAUACAAUGAUAUGUUUUUGUCUUCCCUAUGUUCUAGCAUGAUACUCAUGUUAUGUGUCUACAUAACUAAGUCAGAAUAUGUUGUGGUUAGAUAACUAGAAAGCAUGUCCCUAAGUAAAGGCAAUGUUUGAAUAUAGCAAUGUCUGAUUAAGGUGAUGUCUGAAUAAGGUAAUGUCUGAUUAAGAUGAUGUCUGAAUAGUUUGAUGUCUGGAUGAGUUGAUGUUUGAAUAAUUUUGAUAUUGUUAAACUUAAGUUGGAAAUCAUAUGUGUUAUAUUAGAGCAUAAUAGACUAACCCCAGAACCACCCACUAGGGUGUUUCUAAGUUGAUGCAGUAGUAGAGUUGAGCUGAUUCGGAUGUGCAGCGAUGGACUUGGUAUUCAAUGUCGGGUUUGAGUUUCAAGUGUUUAUUCUGAGACUUGAUUCUUUUCAUGUUGUCUUAUGUUGGAGCACUCUCCGCUUUUGUUAAAGCAGAUGAUCAUUUUCUAUCUUUUUGGUUGUUCUAUUUAAAUAAAGUUUUUGAAAUUCCUUUGAGUUGAGUCCCUAUAGGGCAAUUUGGUUAUUAAAUAAAUAGAAAGUUUUUGGGGUGUGUCACAAGCGCCCGCGACAAAGAGUAAAACCUGCGACCAUUGUAUGAGCGCUAAUGGAUUUAUUCAAACGUUGUCGCAGUCCGCCUAAAACAAGAGCUCGACUGCGAUAAACAUAGUGAAUGACUACCCUUCAGCAGCCGAUCUCCACUCAUUCCACACAGCUUCAACUCUCCUCCCAUCUGAAAUCCUCCUAUUCCUCUCAAUUUCCUCCAUCGAUUUUCUCCUCUUCUCUUCUCCAAUUUUGUCACCCCGACUUCCACCCUUUUCUCGAAAUCGCCAAUAUCAGCUUACUGUUACUAACAAGAAGCAUAAGAGUUCGAUUUUGAUAUAGUUGUGUCGGGCAAUCGCAUUGUGUUUGAGUUGAAGAAUCAGGGGGUUAAACCUGUAGGUCCACUUCAUUCCUUCAUGGGAUACUACAUAAGUGAGUGUACAAGAAAUUAUGCUUACUACCCGGUCUCUCCAAUCGAAUGGAAGAAGUUGUCGCCCCAAUUGAAGACACGGGCUUGGGAGCAGUUUGUGCUAGUAAGUAUUAUUUUAGUUUUUUUAAUUAGAUAUAUUUUUGUAGUUAAAAUUGUAACUAGUUAGUGCUUAAUUGAUUUAUAUUAUAAACCUCUUUUCACAUUGAGGCGAAUGAGAUGGUUGAAGCUCGCAAAUAUUGGGAUCGCAAUGUUGGAAGACUGUUGGGGGAAGUCAAGGAUCACAAUUUGGCAAGCUUAGUUGAAGCAUGCACAAAUAAACCAACUCCCUCCAUAGUGGAUUAUGAAUAAUUCCUUGACAGGUUGUCCAAUGGCUGAUUGGAUAACGUACUUGUUGCGAGUUAACGACAAGUAGUUCGAGAUAGUACAUAUAUUUACAGAUUUCUAAUUGUAUUUGAUUGUAGUUUUUAAUACCGACUCAAGAACUUUUAUGUGCUUGAGUCAUAUCAAAUCAAGCCGCUCAAAUGGAAAACCAUAAAGGAGGGAGAAGGCCAUGUGAUACAUAUGUCAAGGAAACCAUUGAGAAGAUGGGUAAGCCACCUUCUCUACGCCAGAAGUUCAUAAAGUUCUUCCACUAACUAGAUGGAAGUUACAAAUCAGAACAUGGAAUACUUGUGGUGGUAAUGACUAGUUUCCAUAUAUAUAAUAGAUAUAGCUUUAAACUAGAAGACAAUAGAAUUAAUUGAACAUCUGUUAUGUAGGAGACUAUCAGCAACUAGAGCGGGAAGGAGCACCGACUGAGGUUGGGCCUAAUGACUCAUUGGCUCAAACACUAAACAAGCCAAAGCAUCGAGGCCACGUUCGGAUGAUGAGUUUGGGGUUUACCCCACAAUGGUAAUAAUGUUCAAUUUCAAAUUUGUUCUUUCUUGGGUCGUUAGUGUUUGUACCUUGUUUGGUGAUAUUUGUACUGUUUUUUCUUUAAGGUAUUUGGUGGUGCUAGCACUUGUUCAUCAUCAUCAUCAGCUCCUUCUGCCUCUGGGAAUGCAAGUGUGUCCUCAAAUGCUGCUCCUAGUGCUCCCCCUCCCUUACGAGAAGAGUUUGAUUGGAUGUCGUAGCAGAUGGCAUUGAUGUUGCAACAGUUGGCUACAAUGUAUUACAUGAUGUCGUCGGAGCUCGCCGGUGCUUUUACCUAAGUUUUGACUCCUGGGAUAGUUCCUGGUACUCCAUUCAAUCCAAGUCCUCUAUAUCUGUAUUAGGAGCCUAUGCAGCAGCAACAACCAUCUCAACAAUAGCAACAAGCUCAUGAGACCAAUCUUAUGGGUUACUUCCCAUUCUCUCAAGAAGCCAAAAAUCAGUUUCGCCUUCAUGGGAUGAUGGCGAAGCCUUUUCUUCCCUUCUUCAUACAUUAGAAAGAGUGAGUUUUAUAAUUAGUUUCUUGAAAUUUCAAUUAGAAUUCAUGUUUGUACUUACUUGUGUUUUUUAUGUUUAUAUAUAGGUCCCCAUUCCAGACACGAGGGAGCAACGAGAUGAUGAUGAUUGUUCGUAGUUGUAUUUCUAGUUAGUUCUAGCUCUCUCCCCAUCCCUAUUCCCAUAUAUUAUGUAGUAUUUGAAACUUCUAAGAUAGUUUCUUAAGAUAAUUUCUUAACGUUUGCAUAUUAAUGUUUGUUAUUGUAGUUUGGAAUUAUUACAUGAGAUGGUAAUUAUGGAAUUAUUAUGUGUUAUUAUGGAAACCUAAAAACUGCUCUAAAUUCUAAAAUUCUGCUCUAAAUUCUAGAACAUUGAAAAAGCUCUAUAACUGCAAAGGUAGAUCAAUUUGAAAGUGAUAGGUGGCACCAUACCAGAAUAGACACAUCUCCAGCAUUAUUGUAAUAGGCUAGUCGCAGGCCCUUUCUCGCAAGUGUUGACUACGAUUGGCCGGUCACUGGUAGCGCCUGUGAUAAAGCGCCUACAACCAGCCAAUCGCAGCCAACGGCUACGACAAGGCGAGCUUUGUCACAUCAAUAAUUGUCGCAUGCCUAUUUCUAUUUGUCGCAUGCACUGUAUGUAACCAUCCUUCUAUUUUAUGGCAGGCUGGCCUGCGACAUUGUUUUGUUUUUGCUUGUGACUGUUUUCCCUUUUUAUUGCAGUGUAAGUUAUACACUUUCAUGCAUUAUUACGUGUUGAAGAUGGAUUCUAACGUGAUUUUGAAAGCUCCUAGACCGAAACGAGUGACCAUUUAGUUUGAUUCUUUUAGUAAUGUGUAAAUGAAAAGUCUACAUGCUAAAUAUAAAUUCAUAAAUUUGUUCUCAAUAAUAAAAAGUUUACUAGUUAAGAAUAGUUGAAAUAUUGAUGGACGAUGUUAAGUUCAUCCUUCCAUAAAUUUAAUUCACAAACUUAAAAUGAUUCGUAAGUGAAAUGUUAGUAUUAAGACGUUCACAGAUGAAAACAACAAAGAUUGAACAUCAAACUGUAAAGAUAAAAAUAAACUGUAUCUCAUAUUAUUUGGAAUUAAGNNNNNNNNNNNNNNNNNNNNNNNNNNNNNNNNNNNNNNNNNNNNNNNNNNNNNNNNNNNNNNNNNNNNNNNNNNNNNNNNNNNNNNNNNNNNNNNNNNNNNNNNNNNNNNNNNNNNNNNNNNNNNNNNNNNNNNNNNNNNNNNNNNNNNNNNNNNNNNNNNNNNNNUAAUAUAAUACUCAUAAGUGGACAUAACAUAGACAUAAUCCACCUAUAAAGUGGACACAAUGAUUAUAUAUAUAAUUUUAUCAUAAUAUGAACAUAACAGUGACAUAAUUUACUUAUAAAUGUAACAUAAUAGUGAAUUAACAUACUCAUAAGGUGAAUAUAAUAGGGACAUAAAAUGUUCGUAAACCAAGCCUAAAAGAUGCCUAAUAAACUUAUAACUUAGACAUAACAUAGGCAUAAAAGAAUUGCAGUAGUACUGAUAUUUAGGUUAUGUAGCAUAAUAGCCUAAAACAAGUGGUCUACUCAAAACACUAAAAAUUGAUAUAUAAUCGUAAUAUAAUUGUUCUAUGACAGUUAUCCGUUAUUAACAUAGAAGUUGUACAAACAUAUUGUGACACCUUGAUUUUGGGUUGAGUAUGAUUCUAGGAUAGUAUUGGUUUUUGUGAGUCGGUGAGAAUCACUGUCAGACGGUCCGUCACGGGCGUAUCGGACAGUCUCUCAUAGGCGUGAUCAUCAGGUAGAUCAUGAUCGUGGUCAAUGAUAGUCACGAACGUGGCAGCCGGAGGAUGACGGCCGUGACCAUCAGUAGGUCAUGGACGUGGUUUCCAUGUCACAACGGGUGAGGUAAGCAGUACGCCAUGGGUGUGGUGGACAACUUAUGAAACCUAAUUUUCUUCUUCCUUGCAAACUUCUGACGAGCGACGAUUGUUCCAGGCACAGGGGAAAGUCUUGUUGAUCGAUCCAGACCAGUAGGAGAGGCCUAGAGAUCAUCGAGGAAGCUUUAGGAGGUAAUCUACCUUCUUCCUCGUUCGUCAAUCCUUUUCUUUGAAUCCCAUGUAGGAAAAUCCUGACAGGUUUGGAUUUGGAGUUUUGGGAUUUCAAUUUUAUGAUUGUUCCCUUCAGGUUAUAUGGAUUAGGCAAGCAAACUCUAGGUUUCAGAUCAUACUCUUCAGAGGAAAGCUUUCAGAGGUAGGGGUUAGGAUUACUUUUCUGCUUUAUGCGAAGAAUUGUAAUUAGUUGUCAGGAAUCCUUGUUUGGAUUUUCAGAAUUGUACAAUAGUGUGCGAUCUACUGUAUAGAAAGAUUUGUUAUGCAGUUUAGAGUUUCGGGUUGUACAAUAGCGUGUGAUCUACUGCAUAGGCAGAUGGUUAUGAUUCGAGCAUAAGCUCACAACGAGAAACUAUGCAUUUAUACAGUUCAUGUUAGGAUUAAGAAUCAGAACUAGAAUAUACUAGCUCACGAUAUACGUUGGUCACCCACCCUAUAGAUUGUGCGAUCCCCGAGGCUACAUUUACUUUCAGGUAGGACUUGACGAUAAUGCCUUCAGUUGCUGCUCUCACGGUCUGAUCCACCAUGAGGUCAUCCGCUCAUAGCUAGGGGUGGCUAAUGUUAGGAUAAUACCUAGAGGACCACAUGGUCACAUUACUAGAUACUAGUUCAGUUUUUCAUGUUCAGGGUCAGCUGCUCAGUGCUUAUCACUGACCUUGUUACAUUUCAUUAUACAUGAUCAACCUUGGGACUUCAGGAGCCAAUGCCGCUUAAGAAAGGAGCAUGAGUAGUGACACCACCUCGCAGUGAGUCUGGGAGUCACACAGAGAGGUACCAUCGAGUACCUCAGCUGUCUCUUUCAGUGUUUUCAUAGUUUUAAGACAGUCUUUCAUGUUUUUUCAGUUGUUUGUGAGACUUAUUUUACAGUGGUUGUUUUCCCAGGUUUGGGAUGUCUUUUAGUGAUGUUCAUUUUUGAAUUCGAGCCAUGAUGCUCUGUUUAUUUUUUGCUGUCGUUUUACUUAAGUAUUGAGGAUUUUCAGUUCAGUUAAUGUAUGUCAGUUGUUAUGAUAUAAGUUUGAGUGAACCCAUGAGCAAUGCAUGGAUAGAACCGUGUGGUUUGAUCGAGUCAUCUAGGGGUGGGUUUCACACAUAUUAGUUAUAUUAUGUGACAUUAUAAUAAAUAAUAAAGGGAAUAUUGUCAUUUACCCUCUUUUACUUCACCCAACUCGCAUUAAGCCCUCUAUACAAUUCAAUGUUCCAUUAACCCCUACACAUUGCCCACUUUACCAUUCGUCUCCUUCCGUUACGCUUUCCAUAUGUACACCGUUAAAACCAUACAACUCAACAUGCCAUGUAAGUUUUUCGGCACCACAUCAGCGUUUAAUUCCUUUAACAAUUCAUGAAAUAUAAAAAAUUCCAGACACCCUUCUUUCUUCACUCUUCUCCACUCGACCCCCAACCUUUCUCACAUCCGAUGCAGCCGAACUUCGCCCCGAGGGUGAACACAAGGAGAGGAGGGUUGCUAGAUUUUGGGUGUUGUUUUUGCACUCAAAUCCGAUUCAAAAGAAAUAUUGGCCACACUGGAAAAAAGUUAUGGUUUGAUCAUCCUCUAAACAUUCGUAGCAGUGUAAUUCAAGGUCUUAAAUUGGCUACCACUACCAAUUGGAAAGUGAGCAAGCCAAUUUGUAGCGAACACCAAGUGUUCAACAAAAUUCUUAGAUGCUAAAAGACUCUUACUGGCAUCACAAACACUUGACAAGGGUGCUAAGUCACUAUUUGACACCCCCUAACAUUCCAAUCACCUAAAUUGUCACUACCUAAGUGAUUACCAAAAUGCACUCAAGGUGUUAGAUAAAAUGCCACUAAGAGAAUCCUCACACUAAUGGUUGAAUUGGGGUGUGUGCUUGGUCCACACACCCUUACCCCAAUCUUGGACUACACACUUACUCAAGUCAAGCACAAUUAAGUAAUUGAAAGAGUACAUUUGACCUAGAACAAGCCAUAGCACAUUCUAAGUUGCAAUAACCAUAGUCCAACCAUUCUCAAAUACCAUAAUCCAUAUCUAACAUGUAUCCAAAUCCUCGUCAUGAGGGGAUCAUCCUAGUACAUAGCAAUACCCUAAUCUAACAACUAAAGAGUCUAGCCACUCAUCAUGACACUAAAACUAAAGAAAAGGGAUACAAUCACCAUCAAUCAACUAGUAUGAAGAAGAUGAUGAGGGUAGGAUCCUUCCUCAAAGCUCUACUAUUCCAAUUCCUUCAAUCCUUGGUCUUCUCUAGCUCCGAAGCUUCUUCAAGGUCUUCAAUUGAUCUUCUAAGGCUUCAAAUUGGGUGAAAAUCGAGAGAGGAGUCGGGUCUCAACAAUUGUUAUGACUGUAGUGUGAAUUGUUCGUCCAAUCUCCAUGGACCAUAUGCCAUGUGGACCAACACGGGCUCCAGAUGCCAUGUGGCCUAAUUUCCAGCUUAGGACUUUGUUCUUUGAUCGCACAUAUCUCCCUCGUCCGACCUCCGUUUGAGCUCUGGUUGGUCUCAUUGGAAUUUUCUCGUUGUUCUUUAUGCAUCGGAUACCUACAGCCUCAUAUAUACAAUGAGAAACGAGGUCGAACGGACCAAAAUGAUCCAUUUGACAAAAUGAAACAAGAACCCCUUUUUUUCUUCCAACCAAUCACAAAGGAGGGUCAAAACUAGGUCAAACAAGGUAAAAAACAGUCAAGAUGUGGUCAAAUUGGCAACAAAUAAUCGUGCUAUCACAUCCCCCCACACUUGAACGUUGCUUUUCCUCAAGCAAAUCUACUAAUCACACUCAAAGAGAACUCGAAACAGGGUGAAAAGAAAAUAUUUCCUAGCAUUUCAAGCCUAUUUCACGAUGCCAAGAUUGCAAGUCAAUCACCAAACCACUCAAUUAUGUAUAAGACAUUGAAUCCCUUAAAAAAUUUCACACCAAACUCUAAUAUAUAGAUAUUAUGAUUAGAUACCUAAACAAGCGAAUGUACUAAAGUUUCUCCAAUGCACUUAUGUCAUAUGGUACUAGCGGAAGAAAUGGACAGACAGACGGUCCUGGCUGGGUAUUUUUCCCGUCUUGAGGGAGGGGAUGCCUGAUCUAACAUAAACAUAACUAUCACCAAGUAUACUAGCAUCUCCCUCUUCUUUUACUCUACUUUGCUUUCUUUUGUAUUUAGUUUUCAACUAUCUUUUCUCCCUCUUUUUUUUCACAUGGAUGCUUUUUCCAAAUGAGGUGGUUGUGAUUCCAAUUAGGCUCAGAUCCGGUGAAUACCGGGCACCAGUACCGCAAUCCACACAUCGAAGGGUUGAGAAGAGGAGCCCGAGGUGUUGAGCAUACGAGUGGCAGAUCGAAAUCUACCUUGCGUGUUUGAAUCACAACCUUCCUCCAUAUCAUUCUUAAGCACAUUGGCCUCCUGUCCAUUUUGACUUCAUAAUACCAUAGACAAGUUCAAAAAGGAGAAUCAAUCAUACAUAUCGAGCAAGUAAAGGUGAAAACUCAAAACAUCCAUAUGUGCGAGUUUGAAGCAAACUAAUUUCAGGAAAAUGGGAGGUAGUCCACAAAUGAUUACUCAACAACCUAUUCGUCCUCAAGUAGUAUGAAUAAACUAGGUAUGCAUCCAAAGAGAUUCACAUAUUCAAAUUUGAGAGGGAGUAUCAAAAUUCAAGAGCAAGUCAGAAAAAAUGCUACCAAGAUAUGCACAAAAAUUCUCAAACCCGAAUAGUAUAAAAAAAUCCUCCCCCCCCCCACACUUGUACAACACAUUGUCCUCAAUGUGAAAAGAUAUAAGGGGAAGAGGGGUACCAAACGGGGGUGAGGAGUGAAGCCGGAUGAGAAGAUGAAGGAUCAAGAUCGAGUACCUAGAGUUUCACAAAAGGCAAGAACAAAAAAAAAACAAAAAAAAAACGCAGAAACAAACACGAAUAAUGGUCGAGUCAAGAGAAAAGAAGAUAUCUCAAGGCCGUCGAGGAGCUGUCUCAACAAGAAUCCAAUCCACUUAGGCAAGAGUAUACAAGAAUGUGCACAAGUAGAUAUGGAAGAGGCAAGAUGCAUAAGAUAUGCAUAACCAAUAAAGAAGAUAACUAGUUAUUCUCAACCAAGACUAACUAGCAAUCCUAAACAAGAGCAUCCUAUAAUCCAUAAAUGAGUAAGACAAGGGUGAGAAAAAGCUAUGGAACCAUCUCAACUCAUUUAGAAUCAAUUCCAGAAAGUUAUCAUCACAAACGUGUACCAAGUCCAAUCAACAAGAAUGAGCAUAAAGAGUGUAUGCAAAGCAUCAAGUGAACAAAGUAUGCAUCAUUCAACUAUAAUCAAUUUGAGAGCUCAAUGGACUACUAGUAUGCAUCAUUCUUCUUUGACUCAUUAACCAAAACAAUGAGCACAUAUGGAUAAUCAAAAGUAGUGGCAUGAUCAAAAUUCAAGCAUUAGAAGCAAUGAGCAAAGUCACAAUCAUCAAUUCAAUAAUUGGACGCAUCAAAUUCACCUAGCAACAACCUAGGUUCAACCAUACAAGGGAGCACAAAGAUGCAAUUCCAAAUUCUCAUCGCAAGAAUUCAACAACCCACAUAAUUCUUGUUCAAAAAUAUCAUAUUGGCAAAGCUAGACAUUCAAGUAGGCACAACCAUCUGAAACUGGCAAUUGCAAUGUUCAAAUUAGCACAAAAGCAUCAUUUGACCAAAUUUGACCACAAUUCAAACUUUCCACACACUCCAUCAAUCAAACCAGAGCAAACAGAACACAGACGACACAGAUUCAGGCCACAUCAUCAACCAAAAAGUCGUAGGCAGUCAAACGAGCUUUCCAACGCCGCUGGUCUUGCGAAAAACAAACGCUCGAGCAAGAAGUUAUGCUCAAAAUACCGAACCACAGCAUUUUUUCGCACAAGGCGACCAAUCAACGGAGGGUCAACGUCCGGUGAACCGGUCUGGUCAAACUCAGGUUGGUUCGGUUUGAAAAUCGGUUAAACAAUGCACCCCCUUCUUUGAAUAGUGCAUCUUGGCACAUUUUUAACACAAUCGAGCACGUUUCGGAGCUGGAAAUUCAAGUUUUUUUUUAGAAAACCCAUUGGAACUGUAGAUUUUGCAUAAAAAGUACGCUUUAGCCUUUUGUUUCCAAAAUCAAGCAAAUUUUAGGAUCUGAAAGUUCAAUUUUUUCAGAAAACCCGUAGGAAGUGUAGAUUUUUCAUAAAAGUAAGUCUGAGCAUAUUUUUUAGUAAAACAACCAUUUUUUAGCUCUCGAAAAUAUAAAAAUUUCAAGACUGCUUUUUUUCUUUUUCCUAAUGCAACGAAACUUCCUGCUAGCCUUAGGCACACUAAGAUAAGAUCAAGCAAAUCUCCAAACACUCGUUCUCUCGUCCCGGUCAUCACAAGAACACAAGAAACAAAAACACAAACAAAACACGACAAACACACAAUCAUGCAAGUUUUAUUCAAUUUUCCUACUCCUAAGCUACACUAUUCAUGACGAGACACCUAUGGUAUCACCAACUUGGUAAUGUUCAAGAUGCAUCCCACAAAGUAGAAGAGGGUCAAGAUGAGUAGAGGAGGUUACCUCGAUCUUGGAAGGAACGAACUUUUGUUACCAUAAAGGGGCCGGAGAUGAGGACUCUAUCGCCCUCUUUGAGUGCUUGUUUGGUGGGGAGGUGCAAAUCAUGGAGUUGCUUGAUCGCUUUCUUGCAACUCCCAUCCUUGACCUUGUGGACACUUUUUUGGUGAGAAGAAGGAUUCUUGGGCUCAAGGUCUGGUGGUUCUUCAUGCAUGUUCCUCGCCUUAGCAUGCACUCCCUUGAUCGAGAUAGCUUCGGUUUCCUUAUUAUACUAUUUCACACACUCGCUCAAGGAUGGAUCCAAGGCUUCAUGAUGAAGAGAUACAUUAAUAGCAUAAACUAAAGCCAUUUCAACGGGCUCGCCAAUAUCAUUAUCAUCUUGAGGAUCCGGGUGCUCCAUACCCCCGAUCAAUUGAAAUGUGGCUUCCUUUUGACCCACUCUCAAGGUAAGCUUACCCUCAAACACAUCUAUGAUUUCCUUCGACGUGUUGAGAAAUGGACGACCCAAAAUCAAUGAAACGUCGGUGUCUCCGGUGUCAAUCACAACAAAAUCCACCGGAAACAUGAACCUUCCAACAUGCAUAAUAACAUCUUCAACUACACCACUAAGCAAUUUUGUAGUUUUUUCCGCUAGUUGGAUGCACAUCUUAGUUGUUGUAAGUUGACCUAGGCCUAGUUUCUUGUACAAUGAAUAUGUCAUGACAUAUAUACUAGCACCUAGAUCUGCUAAACCUCUUUCAAUCACAACUUGACUAAUCAUGGAAGGGAGAAAGAAACUACCCAGAUCUUUGCGUUUGCAAGGGAGGUCCCUUGAGAGGAUUGUCGAGCAUUGCUCAUUGAGAUUGAUGUUGGAAGCUUCUAUGAGCCUUCGCUUGUUGGUGAAGAUCUCCCUUAGGAACUUGGCGUAUUGAGGCAUCCUUUCGAUUGCCUCGACGAAAAGAACGGUGAAGUUCAUAUUGCAAAGUCGAAGCACAAGUUGCUUUAAGCUCUUCUCGAGAAGAUCCUUAUCCAAUUGGUUGGGAUAAGGUGGCUUAGGGUUGUAUGGAGCCGACUGGGGCUAGGAGAUAGGAGAAGCCUCAGUUGAACUCUUCGUAGCCUUCUUGGAACCAACUUCAGUUGACACCUUUGGCUUUCCAUUACUCUUUGGAGCUUUCGGAACUAAUGCAUGCGGAACCGGUGCACUUUCUUCGACCAUCACUUCAUUCUCUUAAUCACUAGAUGCUUCAUUUUUCAUUAACAUCUUUCACAAGAAAUUCAUUAUCAUGCACAAGCUUGCUAGGUACAUCGAUAGGAGGAUCGAUUAAAUUUAGGAGUUGUGGACACAUAGUGUCUCAUGCUCCUAGUUGUGAUAGAUCCACAAGUUUCCUUGCUCUUUGGAUUGGUUAUGAUAUUUCUAGGUAGAGUGCACGGUUGCCGACUUGAAAGAGCGUGUGUGAGGUAUCCAACUUGAUUCUUAAGAUCCACCAUUUGAGCUUGAGUUGAGGCAUUGUGGGUGUCUUGAAAUGCUCUUUGCUCUUGAGUCACCUUGUUGUGCUCUUGGAAGAACUUAGCUUGAUUCUCAAUCAUUUGGUUUCCUCCAUUGAAGCUCCCUUGAACAUAAUCAACUUCUUUAAUGAAGUGCUCUUCCUCCGGUGCGAAAUCGGGAGCAAGGGAUUGGCAAGUAGAGGUGGCAUGCCCUUCGUUCCCAUAACAUUCACAAACAAAGAGUUGCACAACCAGUUGAUUCACCUUUGGUUCUUGUACCUCUUUCUUUUGAGGUGGAGUGGCGGUUGGUCUCACCACCGGUUGAGCCAAGGCAAGUGCUUUGAUUUGAGCCGCCAUGCCAUCCAUCCUUGAUAGCAUCAAGUGAACAAGAUGGUUGGGAUCUUCCUCCUUAUGUCCCGGCAUCUCCUUAAGGACCUUUGGAGCUUGAGUGCGAGUACAAACAUAAGGAUCUAUGCUCACCACCUUAGCUUCUAUAGGACCUUGUUGCCUAGACCAACUCUUCAUCUUCACCGCCAUUUCCCGGAAGACUUGAAGCCAUCAUUUGGCGAGGAGUGAUCUCAAGUCUCCUCCCGCCGCUUGAUUGGUCAUCUUGGUGUCCUCAUAAGUGAGUCCUCAUAAGUGAGUCCUCUAGCAAAGGUCUCCGCGAGUUUCCACUCAUUGAAGUUGAAGUUGUGAUGAGGGCAAGAGUAGAGAAGGGCUUGGGACCUCUCCCAAGCUUCAAAGAAUGGCUCUCCAUUAAUUUUCUCAAAGUUGGAGAUUCUACUUUGGAUCUCAUCCGUCUUGUAAGGCAGGAAGAAUUCCUCCAAGAAGGCCUUUGCUAGAUUGUCCCAAGCUUGGAAGGUAUUGUUUCGUUGGUUGUCGAGCCAUUGAUUUGCCUUCCAUUGGAGUGAGAAGGGAAGAGUCGGAGUUGAAUGGCUUCUUGCGACACAUGAUUGAACUUCAUUAGAUCCAUGAUCUCGAGAUAGCUACUUGGACAUUCGUGCUCGUGCCCAUGGUAUACGUUUUGUUGCACCAUUUGAAUGUAGUUGAACUUCAACUCGAAGUUCCGGUUAUCAAUAAGGGGUGGAGCACACUUGAAGAAGUACCUUCAAGAGUUGGCUUAGGUAAUCACCUAGAGUUCUUUGAGGUUCUUGAGCCAUCUCAAAGAUGUUAACAAAUUCAUCAGCCUCUCCUUUGCAAGAUGAAACAAUUGAUGAGUGAUCCAGGGUUGUUAAAGAAGUUGCGAUGUGAGGUGGUGGUGGUGCUUGAGGUGGAGAUGAGAUGAAUCUCUUUGGUAGACGCCUUGUACGCUUCAAUCUUCUCAUGCACUAAUAGUGCAUGAACGGAACCUACACAACAAAGCAAACAACCAAGGGAACACAACAAAGGAAUAAACACACAAGAAGGGGGUAGCAAUAAGUAAAAUGGAUUAGGUAGAAUGCCUAAAUCGGUGUCUAAUCUACUCUUUCAAGGGGGUGAUUACACUCCCCAACAAUGGCGCGAUUUUGAUCCUCUAAAAAAGAACCAAACAAACAUGAUCGGCUAAGAAAAGGGACUAAUCCCAAACCCAAGGUCUCAAGUGACAAUUUUCACGAGGAACAGACCACCAACCCUAUACUCAACUAUUAAAGACACGGUUUAAGCUCACAAAAGUUCAAAAUGCUAGUUCCUUAAAUUAUCCACUAAAGUACAUAUCAUUCACAAGAGUAAUUGGAACUAAAUUAAGCUAACGAACUAAGCAAACAAGAUACUAAAGAGGGUGAACACAAGGAGAGGAGGGUUGCUAGAUUUCGGGUGUUGUUUUUGCACUCAAAUCCGAUUCAAAAGAAAUAUUGGCCACACUGGAAAAAAGUUAUGGUUUGACCAUCCUCUAAACAUUCGUAGCAGUGUAAUUCAAGGUCUUAAAUUGGACUACCACUACCAAUUGGCAAGUGAGCAAGCCAAUUGGUAGUGAACACCAAGUGUUCAACAAAAUUCUUAGAUGCUAAAAGACUUACUGGCAUCACAAACACUUGACAAGGGUGCUAAGUCACUAUUUGACACCCCCUAACAUUCCAAUCGCCUAAAUUGUCACUACCUAAGUGAUUACCAAAAUGCACUCAAGGUGUUCGAUAAAAUGCCACUAAGAGAAUCCUCACACUAAAGGUUGAAUUGGGGUGUGUGCUUGGUCCACACACCCUUAAUCCAAUCUUGGACUACACACUUACUCAAGUCAAGCACAAUUAAGUAAUUGAAAGAGUGCAUUUGACCUAGAACAAGCCAUAGCACAUUCUAAGUUGCAAUAACCAUAGUCCAACCAUUCUCAAAUACCAUAAUCCAUAUCCAACAUGUAUCCAAACUCUCAUCAUGAGGGGAUCAUCCUAGUACAUAGCAAUACCCUAAUCUAACAACUAAAGAGUCUAGCCACUCAUCAUGACACUAAAACUAAAGAAAAGGGAUACAAUCACCAUCAAACAACUAGAAUGAAGAAGAUGAUGAGGGUAGGAUCCUUCCUCCAAGCUCUACUAUUACAAUUCCUUCAAUCCUUGGUCUUCUCUAGCUCCCAAGCUUCUUCAAGGUCUUCAAUUGACCUUUUAAGGCUUCAAAUUGGGGGAAAAUCGAGAGAGGAGUCAUAUCAUCAUACAUCUUAAUAUUAUCUCUAAUUGGGACCACCUCAAUAUUAUCUGCAACAAUCUCAUCCUCAGUGUCAACCUCUAUGGCAAGUAGCUGUUGUAACUCCGUUUCUGAAGAUGAUGCAACCACUCCACUAGAGGAGGCAUCACAAUGAACAGCAAACCUACAUGAACAAACUCUAUACGAUUGAGGUUACCAAACAAAUCACCCCACACUUAUCUUUUGCAUAAACCAAUAUGCAUUAAUCAAGCUGUAGAAAAAGAGAAGAGUGGGCUUAGAAGCAACUAUUGAACAUCUCAUCCAAAUAGGAAAUCUGUCAUAAUAAAGAAUACUCAACAUCAUUAAGGCAAUCCACGUAAGGUUUAGGGCACUUAGAAACUAUCCACAAAGUCACACAAACAAUGUAAGACAUGUAAAAUUUCAUAAAUUCUUAACCCAGAAAAAUACCGAGCAAAACUCAACAUUCCUAUGACACCUAAUCAUAUAAUUUCAAAGUGCAAAGGAUGUCAUUAACAUCCUAUAUCAUACCCAAUUGAAUUCUAGCAUCAUCAAUUUCACAAAACCUCAUAUUUGAAAUUUCAAGUUCUUCAAGCUAAUCAUCAAUCUCAACAAUUUAACCAAUCAGGGCAAAGUGAACAAGGAGAAACUGGGCAAAAUUCAAUGUAAACUAGCUCAAAACUCACUCAAAGUUGAUGAAAAACGAAGGGGGGAGAUUGGGGGAGGGUUCGGCGGUGACCGACAACGGUUCUAUGGUGACAGGAGUGCGGAGUUUUGAAUGACGGCAAAGGGGUAGGAGGGUGGAGUCGGCGUCAGUGGAAUGUUUGAAAAAAAUAUGGUUCAAAAAUCGGCUAAGGCUAGAAUAUUUAGAAACCCGUGUCAACUAUUGCAUUGUAGAAGUGUCAAAAAUGCGGUAUGGACAUAGCGCAAUGUUUGACAAAUCAUAGCGCAAUGAUUGAAAGGAUUUCCAGAACUCAAUGUCAACAUUUUUUCUAUAGAUGGUCAAUUAUUGCGCUAUGGGCAUAGCACAAUGCUUGACACAGAUCCAUAGCACAAAGGUUGACAUCCUAUUAUGUGAACUUCCAUAGUUCAUGAAAGAAUCAACACUCUUUGCAUUGACGACUGGGGACAAGAAUGACACUCAAGUAUCACGUUCUAGACUCGAUCUAACUCCUACACAUGCAAAUUGACUCAAAGAAUAUGAAAAAUACUGACUCCAGACAUGGGCUUCCUUCCAUGAAGCGCUCUUUCUUUAACGUCUUUGAGCUAGAUGAUACAAGGACCUCAAUUUAGCAUCUUCAAAGUAAUGAACUUUUACUCCAUCGGUAGGCUUGGUACUGAGAUAUAGCUUGAGACGUUGACCGCUGAAUUUAAUGUUCCUUGGUCCGGAUGUGUGAUCUCCACAAAUCGGUAGGGAAAUGAUUGUGUGACUUCAUAAGGUCCCGACCAUCUUGAUUGUAAUUUUCCCAAAAAUAGUCAGAGCUGGGAGUUGUAGAGCAGCACCUUAUCUCCCUACUUGAAUUCUUUGACCCCUUGAAUAUUAGCAUCGUCGAUUCGUUUCAUCCUUUCCUUAUAUAUACAUGAGCUCUCGUAAGUAUGAAACAUGUGCUCCUCUAGCUCAAGGAGCUAAUAUUUGCAUUCUGAAGCUACGAGACUAUCAUCCAUGUUUAGCAGCUUCAUGGCCCACCAUGCAUUAUGCUCAAGCUCGACCGGUAAAUGAUAAGCCUUUCCAUAAACGAAUCGAUACGGGAAAGUGUAGAUAGGGAUCUUGAAGGCGGUUCGGUAAGCCCAUAGAGCUUCAUCGAGCCAAAUCGACCUGUCCUUAUGAGACUGAUCGACUGUGCUAUCAAGAAUCUGCUUAAGCUCACGAUUCUUCACCUCCACUUGACCGCUUGCAUGUGGAUGGUAAGCGGUCAUCAAUCAAGGAGCUAUGCUAAAUGUUUGGCAAACUCAAUAGAAUUGACCCUGAAAGUGAGUGACUUUAUCGCUAAUGAUAGCAUGAAGGCCGCUGAAACGCAUGAAAACGCAUGUAAUAAACUUUCCCACUGUCAGAACAUAGUUAGUAGACAGCGGUUGCGCCUCUGCCCACUUUGAGACAUAAUCCACUUUGAAAUGUUACAUGUACGUUGGCAGUUGAUUUUGGGCUUUAAUCUGAAUUCUGUGAAUUUUGGAAAUUGGCUGAUCAAUGGACAGUCACAGGCAUGACAGUCAGUCUAUCACGGGAAAGGUUGUCAGACAGACCACGACCGUUGUCAGCAAACAUUCAUGGGCGUGACCACUGGAAGAUCAAGGGCUUGACCAUCAGGAGGUCAUGGUUGUGACCAUCAGUAGGUCACGGGCAUGGUUUCUAUGUGGCCACGGGUAUGGUGGUAAGUUGGACAUGGGCGUGGUGGACUUAUUAUAUAAGGACAGUUGCAACUUACAACUCAGAAUUACUGAAACCUAAGAACUUUGAAUCCCUCUGCAAAUGGCAAUCAAUUUCAGGAGAUGGAGAAAUCCCAUUUGAUCUAAUCCCAAAUCAUUAGGAAAGGUCUAGAAAUCGUUGAGGAUGCUUCCAAAGCUACUCAAUCUUCUUCCUCCUUUCUCAAUCCUUGAUUGGAAAUCCUACGUAGGAAAUUCCUGACACAUUAGGAUUUGGGGUUUUCAGAUUUCAAUCCUAUGAAUUAAUCUCUACGGGUCAGACAGAACAUGAGGCUUGAUCUUGGGAAGGUAGCUUCAUAUUAGACUCUACUAGGAAAGCUAAUCAGAGGUGGGGGGUUAGGAUUUCUUUUCUGCUUUAAGUGUAGAACUGUAAUUAGGAUUGUCAGGAAUCCGAUUAUUAGAUUCUCAGACUGUGUAGUAGCAUAUGAUUUAUUGUACAUGUGUUGUGAUUUGAAGGGCUCUCAAGACUGUGCAAUAGCGUGUGAUCUACUGUACAUGUAUUACGAUUUUUAGAGCCAAGCUCUUAGUAUUGUGCAGUAACGUGUGAUCUACUGUACAUGGGUUGUGAAACAGAGCCAGGCUCUCAGACUAUGUAGUAGCGUGUAAUCUACUGUACAUGCAGUUGUUUAAUUUCGAGCAUAAGCUCAUGGUGAUUAAACUAUGCUUGUGAUUCACAGUUCAUGUUAGGACAGGAUCAUGUUUAGCUAGAUUAGCUCUCGAUAUGCAUUGGUCACCCGCCCAUGGAUUGCGCAAUCCCUUAGGUCAUGUUCAGGCUCAUGUUGGACGUGUCGAGUAUGCCUAUAGAUGCUGCUCACACGGUUUUCAGGAUGGUUUCAUAGUUUGAUCCACCAUGAGGCUAUCUACCAUAGCUAGGGGUGGUUGUUGUCAAGAUGAUGCCUACAACCUGUGAGUAAUGCAUGGGUCGAACCAUGUAGUUCGAUUGGGUCUUCUAGGGGCGUGUUUCACGGUAAUCUUCUAUAUAUGUCCCGAAAGCAAGGAUGGUGGCUAUCUCGGUAAACCACUAGCGCUUGUAGAGGUGAUGAUCCGAGACUUCCUUUGCUUCUUCCAAGAGAAAUAAUUGAUCAUCCAGAAAGAGCUCAUUUAUCUCUGCUUCAGCGAAUCGACCCAGAGAAGGCCCUUCAAGGUGCGAUAGGUGGUUAGCUGCAACGUUCUCUGAUCUCGCCUUGCCCUUAAUAGUCAUGUCAAACUCUUGAAGGAGUAGCACCUAGUGAAUCAAUCUCAAGUUCCCAUCCUGUUUAGCUAUAAGAUACUUAAGAGCAAAAUGGUCGCCGGAAUCUGGGCAGAGGUCGCCAGCGGUAACGGCCUCACUAGAGAAGAAGGGUGACCUCCCCACAAUCAUGAGGAGUUCAGUGACCAGAUCUGCAAAGUCUGAAAGAUAAGUUGCUGUUGUGCAUUUGAAUAUUCUAAAGUCUAGCUUCCGUAGCUCUGAAGUUUUGGAUGGUUUACAGUUAUGGACCUUGGUCAGAUUUUUUAUCAUUUGGAAGUUCUAGAUCAGUUAGUGUAAUGGAGGUCAUUAGAGGACUAGAGUAACAUUUAUGUCCUUAAAAUUUUCAGAUUAUUGCAAAUAAGUAAAUGGAGAAGAACUCGGUCGUUUGAGCUCCAAAUGACGCACGGUUAGAACUUACGGAUUUAUGGCAACGAGAGAAAUCAUGCCAAGUUAGGAUCAAAGGUGUCAGAUCUUCUUAACAGGUGGGGGUUUAGGAUUACAUUCUGCUUAUAAGCUUAGAACUAUAAUAGGAUGUUAGGGAAUCCGAUUAUUGGAUUCUUCAUGUGAUUCAGAGCAAGGGCUCUCAGGAUUGUACAAUAGCGUGUGAUCUACUGUAUAAAUGUUGUGAUGUGAUUCGGAGCAAGUGCUCUCGGACUAUAUAGUAGCGCAUAAUCUACUCUAUAGAUGUUGUGAUGUGCUUUGGAGUGUGGGCUCUUAGGCUGUACAAUAGCGUGUGAUCUACAGUAGAGGCAAUUAUUAUAAUUCGAGCAUAAGCUCUUGGCGUUUGGACUGUGGCAUGUGAUUCACAGUUCAUGUUAGGAUAGGAUAGGCCUAGAUAGACUAGGUCACAAUUAUGAUACGUCGGGCACCCACCCAUGGAUUGCACAAUCCCCCAUGUUAUAAUCGGGCUCAGGCAGGACGUGUUGAGUAUGCAUACUGAUGCUGCUCAUACGGUAUUCAGAGUGGUUUUAUGGUCUGAUCUACCGUGAGGUCAUCCACAUAGCUAGGGGUGGCUGAUGUUAUGUUGAUGCCUACUGGACCAGAUGGUCACAUUACUAGAGUAGUGACUACAUAGAAUUCCAUGUUCUAUUCUUAGUACAGGUCAGUUUCAAUCUCAGUUCUACGCGAGUCCAGAUAGCCACUUAGUGUUUAUCACUAACUCUAUUAGAUAUUAUUUUCUCUGGUGUAUAUGUGUGUUCGGUCACAAGAACUGGAGCUGAUGGUGGGGAGAGAGCUAGUCGGAGUUUUGAUAUCACAUGAUAUAUGUUUUGAUGUAUUUUCAGUACUAGAGUUGCAUCUCCUUUUAUCAUGUUGUGAUUUGGGAUCCGAGAUCCUUGUUGGUCAAUUUUAUCAAAGUAUUUCGGUUCAACUUUUAAUGCUUGUUUUUGCUCAUUUAUUAGUAGUAGAGAGUAGAGGUUGGUUCAGCUUGGAACCCGAUAAGAUUUCUUGAUUGAACCAGUGGUUCGACCAAAACUCUUAGGGUGGGGUUUCAGAGAAAAUGUGAUAGUGAAAUAUACAUUUCCCAAAAAAAUUCAUCUUCCCACCGAUAAGUUUUGGCUAUUUUCGUAUUUUCAUAAUUACCUUUAUUUUAGAUUGUAUGAUUCAAUUCAUUACCAAUUGUCAGAUUAUGUUGUGACAUCAUCAUUUCUAUCAAACGAACAACAUUGGCUCCAUUUAUAGGAUUUUAUCUAUUGCAUAUAAGACUAUUGGAUCCAUUUUGAUUUGUAAAAGUGGGUCCUACUUCCAUCUCAUUUUGUUUUGAAAUUUUGCAUACUUCACUUUGAAAGGCUUCUCAUUAAUGCAAUUCAAAAACAUUUGCAAAAGUGGACUUACAUGAAUAAAAUGAUCAUUUCUUAUAUAUUAUUUUAUUAGCAAAUAAUGAUAUGAGAAGGCCCAAUCCAUUGGGUCUUGAUCAGAAUGGCACAACCUAUUAAAAAUACCUAUUUUGGCAUAACAUAAUUAUAAUUUUACAAAAUAAAAUAUUUAAUUGACUUUUUAAAACUCAAUACAAAAAACUAAAAAAAUAUCAAAGUUCAUCAUAUUCUUCUCCCACCACCAUCCUAUCUCCACUAUCUUCUUAUCAUCCCCAUCAUCCAUUGCUAAACCCAACAAUUACUUUCUCUAAAUCUAUCACUUACCAAAUCCAAAAUCAUAUUCAUUUGUACACACAACCAAGUAUGCAAAUUUUAGAUAUGAUUUGUGUUGGUUUUUUAGAUCUGAUUUUGUCGAUCUCGAAGGUGAAGAUGAUUGACGACGGGGAAGGGGACUCUAAUACCCAAAUAUGCUACUGGAGAAUAAUCCAUCUUUCCAGACUAUUGCAAUUCAUACCGCUCCUUGAAUACUUACAGAGAAAGACGGCGCAUCGAGCUCAAAAGGAGAGGGUAGCGAGCAAUCGAAGGAGAGUAGAAAAAGCCGUUGCAAGCAAAAGAGAAAUCGACCACCAGAUCUCCUAGGAUUCCUCAUCUGAGGAAGCCAUCAAGAGAUUUUUUCCUAUAAGUCAGUUCAGCUACUAAAGCUACAAGUGGUGAUGAUGAAUAAGCUUCCAUAAGUGGUUCGCUGGGUAUCUCUACUUUGACCUCCUUCAUGGGAGCUCCGUCGUCGCCGCUGGCGACCCUAAAAAAGAACAUGCAUUUAAACGCGUUUACACACUAAACUAAAAAGGAGAAUGAAAGACUAUAAUUGGAAUUUCAACAACAAGAGAAAGUUAACUUCUUUUUUCUAAUCCACCGUCGGGAGGAGCAGCAGCAAGCUUCGCCCGUCUUCUUCCCUUUUGGGAUUUUUUUGAAUUAAUUAAGAAUUUUAUUAAUUAGAAGUUUAAAAUUAUAUGAUGUGGAGCCUAUAUUGAAGUCAAGUGGGAGGUACGUCAGGGGUGUUAAGUUUGACUGUUAAGUUGAUGGUCAAAUUUCAAAUAUGUGCCACAAUAAGUAUUUCUAAUAGGUUAUGCCAUUCUGGGUUUAGACCCAAUAGGUUGGGCCUCCUUAGAUCAUUAUUCAUUUUAUUAACUACAUAUAUGUUAUAAAAAUGUAUAAGUGACAAGUGGGUCUCAAAUGAUUAAAAAAUAUAAAUGAAAAAAUGGGCCACAAGUGAGAUUAUCACUUUGACUUGGAACGAGUACAAAUUUGCACUUAAAAUGAUCCUUUCCCAUCAAUAAUAUUCUCAUUUAAAUUUAAAAAUUGCCACAUAGGCUCCAUGUUACUUAACAAGUAGGGAAAAUCUCAGUGAUAAGAUGCUAUAAUAACAAAUAAUCUUGAGGCCAAAUCCAAUAACUGAGCAUGCCUUCUACAUGUCGGACUCCACCAUAUAAACACGGCCCACGUUAUAAUUGAUUCAUUAAAAAAAAGAAACAAUUUGAUGAAUUGAUGAAAGAAGCGAAAGGCAAAAGAUGGAAAUUGUCGUUUCUCUUCCUAAAACUAGGGUUUUGUUUCUCUCACUAAAAUUAGGGUAUCUCUUCGUCAUGAAGACUUCCUACACCCCCAUCGCCAUCAUGCUCAAGCACAAACCUACUCCUAUCAUCAACAAACCCAUCCCACCUACCGAUGUUGUCAUCAAAACAAGACCGACCCUUACUGCACCCAUGGCCUCCCUAUCGUUGAAGGAGAGUCAUGGCUCGGAGGACCUGACCGGAAUGACAUGGCUGACGAUUGGAUACCAGAGCUGCAGCAAUCUGGAAAGCCCCACAAAGAUUCUCCGCCGACAAAGACCAGCAGGUCAACACUAAGGAGAGGCGGUGUUCCUCCGAUCUUCGAGCUACAGGGGAGCGAGACGACUCUACCCCAUACACCAUAGUGACAUCGCCGGUGUGGACAUCCGAUCAUUCCAUUCAAAGCUCAUGAAGAUCGGCUACACUUGUGUUUGGCUUUCUUUAUUUUUGUUUAGUACUCUCUUUUUAGACAUUUGGUUGAUUUUCAGUCGUACGUUGCACUUCAUUUGUUUCCUUCCUUGAGUCGGGGUAUAGUUUUGUUAAUUUUUUUGUUUAUUUCGUUGCAUCUAAAACCGUUGAUGGUCGAAGAGAUUAAAACUGUAAAUAAAAUAUUCAAUUACCUACUUUCCCCUUACAUCUUUUCUAAAAAACAACUCUCAAUUGCAUUUCUCAUGGUCAAUGUUAUAUCACGCCUCCCUCUAUAAAGAAAUUAUAUUUUGUAAAAAAAAAAAGCGAAAGGCAAAAGAUAUCGCGAGACCUAGUUCUAUAUAAACCCAUUCCAUUCGCAGGUUACGAGCGGCCGUCAUCGCUGUCACAGGGCCAGAUAUGGGAAGCGCUAAAGCUGGCAAACCCUCAAAGAAGUCUCUCAGAAACCCUAAUCCGCUUCGCAUUACCCAUAGGAAGAUUACGAAGCACAAACGGCAAGACAUUGCUGUUGAUACAGUUCCCACCGCCCUGAAGUAGAAACACAACCUCAUAUCGGAGAAGAGGAGCCCCUUCCUUCAGCUUCCCAGCAACUCAGCUUUUUCCUCAGCAAGUUCCAGUCAGCUAAUGGUCUUCAAGGUUAGUCUCUACCGCUGGAGCUCCACAAUAUUGUAUCCCAUGACAUCUCUAUUUGGUUGCUGGACAGAGGGAUUAUUAACAAUUUGUGUAUUGUAUUUGCAGAAACAUCCUUUAUUCAGUUAUUUUGAGAGCUGCCUCAGGAUGUUGAGGGCCUAGGCCAGCAUUUGAAGACUGCUUUCGGAAAGUCAUGGAAAGAAGAACGCUGUGAUCGAAAGCUCGUGGAUAGGUAAACUGAACCAGAGAGUCCUGCUGCUCUUUUCAUUUCUACAUCUGCAUUGAGAGCAAUAGAACUUUUAAGGUAUAGAUUCUCUCAGUUCUUGUUAAUGAUCUUUGUUUUGCUCGAUUUAAUCAGGGUUUGGGCUUGAUUCAAUCUUCUUCUUUUAGGGGUGUGCGUUCACUGAGCGUUCACUGACGAAAGAAUGCCAUGCUGCAAAGCUCUUCUCUAAGCACAUGAAGGUUGAAGAACAUGUGAUAUCCUUUCCCUUUUGUCACUUGUUGUUCCUAUUACAUCGUUAAACAAAAUACUAUCUCUUUAUGUUUCGAGGUGUUGUCAUUUGUUUUGGAUAUCAUUCAGUUCCUUUUAUUAUUACUGCUGCUCGAGUUACGAACAUCUGAGGAAAUAGCAAUGCUUAGGAUGUUAUUGUCCACUUCACUGUCUCGAGACACCGACAUUGUCUUUAGUUAUUAUUUAUGGGUCCAACAAGUUAUGACUUGAACCAUGGUCACAUGGAACAAAAUUAAUUUAUAAAUUCGGACUUCUGUUUCAUCAGUGACAUUUUCACUCUUCGUCAUCAUAUACAUUUGGUGUUUGUUUGUUUUUGGUAAAAGGAUUUGAUAUUACCAGUUAUAAAGAUCAAAGGGCAGUAGCAGUGCAGGAUAAGCUUUUUUCACAUCAGUCUGCUUCUAGUUCAGUAUCUUAGUUUCAAUGAUUUAUGGCUGGAAGCAUGGAGCAGUAUGGAAUUUUUGCAAACAAUUGUUGGAUUAGGAAUUUCAUACUUCUUUUCACUGCAUUUUGAUGUUGGGAUAUGAUGAGUUACACGGAUCAAAUGCUCUAGCAGUGCUGAAUAUGUUUUUUGCACGUCAGUCUGAUCCCAACUUACCGUAUUUUUACUGCCCCUACCUUUAAAUGCAUGUCCGAGUUCUAACAAUAGAUGACUUGAGACAUGGAGCCUAUGAAUGGGGGUUCUCUGUUUGAUUUUAUGACAUUUUACAAUAAUUGUCACAAAUUUUUUUGACAUUGGAUAUGAUGAUGAGUUAGAAUCAAAGGCACUAGAGAUGCUGAAUAUGAUUUUUUGCACGUCAGUCUGAUCCCAGCCUUUCGAUUUCUGAUUACUGGAAUUUAAAAUUUUACUUUGUUUUCGUCAUUUUGACAUUGGGAUAUGAUGAUGAGAUGUAGAUCAAAGGCAUUAGCGGUGCUGAAUGUUUAUUUUGCACGUCAGUCUGAUCCCAGCUCACUGUUCCGAGAUUGUGCUGCCUUCUUGCAUUUCCUAGUUAAAAAAAUGUACUCCUUGGACAUGGAUCUAAACGAACUUCAAAAUAUGAAUGAUUAAGAUUUCGUGAUCAGUGUCAUUCAUAGUUUAUGAUCACUAAUUUAAAUCUCGUGGCAUAUCUUGCAGGGUGUUUAUAGCCAAUUAGAUGCCACACUCACUGAAAGCUUAACUUACGAUUUAGGUUCUGGUUGUGUAUCCCCCCCCCUGUCCACCGCCUUUAACCUUGUACUUCUAAGCAAUUGAUUGUAUUUCCUGAAUAAUGGCUACAUAUUUCGUAAUUGUUCAUGCUCUGCUGAUUAUAUUUUUGCACGUCUCUGUUCCUAAUAAAACUGCACACUAUUUUACGAAAAAAGACGUGCACGCUAAUAUCGUACACCAAUGUAAUAUAACACUAUUAACAACAAAAAGUUCUUAGUACGGGUUCAAUGUCAUCAUGCAACAUCCAUGAUGCCGUUCCUUAGUCUCUCUACGUGACUCUGUGUUGCAUUUGGUAAACUAUUUCUUAAACUUCUGGCUCCGUUUACUGCAGGUCACUUUCUUCAAGAAUCGUGUCAAUAUUGCCAGCGGCACACCAAACAGGUUAGUCACCAGUCAUUUCAUCUCGAUAUUGAUGUUACAAUGGGUCGUUUGGAUGAGGUAUUUGAAAGUGGUAUUUUGGCUCAAGUAACUCAAACUAAAGUUAUAACUGAGUUAUUUGGGCCAAAACACUUCGUUUUCCAUCCGAAAUAAAAGUCGUUAUAUUUCAUAACUGUGAUAUUUGAAAUAAUUAUGGAUGUGAUAUUUGAAAUAACUCAAUUUAAAACCAUAACUCAAAAUGAUAGCUAAACGAAUAAUUCUUAUCCCCCAAAUUCUUACAACUGAUCCAAACGAUUAAUGUUUACUUGCUCAUCCUUUUCGUUCUAGCUGAAUAUUUGCAUUUCCGAAAUAAUGCGCCCCACAUGAGUUCGGUAUACAUUGGUGAUUGCUUUUGCAAGUUUUCCGUGCAUGAAUUGUUGUGGUAUUCAUCAGAAAAUUACCAAUAGGAAAUAGUUAAGAGGUCGUAGAAAAUGCAUCGGGAGUGUCAUUUUAUAUUGUAGGGGCAAAAAUUGAUUUUGAUGAAUUUGAACUUUCUUGACUAGAUUCUUGAUAAAAAAAACUAUCUUGACUAGGUUGAAGAAGUUGAUAGAUAUAAAAGCAAUGGGGCUCUCGCGGUUUUAAAGUUAUCGUGCUAGAUGUCCACCAUGAUGUAAAGGGUUAUUCCUUGCUCACACUUCCACAAGGGGGAGAUAUAGAGAGAAUGUCCGGUCUCUUUUCAACACAGCGAGGAGCAUAGUCGAUUUUGUCAUGUGAAGAGUUGCUGUUGUACAAGUGUUAGUUUGUUAUUUUGACAGGACACUUUUUCAAUUAUUCAAAACUUAUAUUCUAGCUAAGCUAAGGGUAAAUAUCCAUUUUGUAAUUUCACUUGUUGCUGCUUCUACCAAGAGACAGCACACAAGGAAUUAUACUCAUCGGCUUCCUGGCCGCAAUUGAGUUAAAUCUUCUUUUCGGCCCCUAGCGUUUAAAAUAAAAUAAAUCUUUCACCGGCUACCUUCAAAAUCCUCUGUUUAUCUUUCCUUUGAUCUUAUCAAAUUUUUAUAGUGACAAAGUUUGUGAAAUUACUUAAUAAAAAAAAGAAAAAAUUAUUAAACAAUUGCUAAUAUUUAGGCCCGACAUUCGAUAUAGCACAUGUUUUUUAUAAUAUUUUUUUUUGCCCAAAUUUCAAAUUAUGUUAAUUCCUUUAAGUUAAAAUUAACGGAUUGGUGACAAAUGCUGACAAGGCAAACAAUGUGUCUGAUGUGGAUGGAUGAAAAGAAGUCAAUCGGAAAUAAAUACACAGUCAACAUACAGUUAAAAAAUUUUAUAACAAAAACCACCCACAUUCCUUAUCCUCUUCGUCGACCAGCCUUUUAUCACCCACCUGUCACCUCCCUUCUAAAUUAAUUUUCAUCAGAUGGGGAGAAAGAGUGGAAGAAGAAGAAGAAGAAAGAAAGAUGGAGCAAGGUGCAUUUGAUUUGAAUCCCGACAAUGUCGACAACAAUCUUGUAUCUAAAUUCUUUGUCGAUUUGAAUUUCGAUGAUGCCAACAACAACCUCAUUCUUGAACUCUCCGUCGAUUUGAAUCCCGACGAUCCCAUCAACAACACCAUUCCUGAACUCUUCGACAAUUUGAAUCCCGACGAUGCUGAUAACAACCUCAUACCUGAAUUCUCCGUUGAUUGAAUCUCAAUGAUGCCAACAACGACUCUCUAUCGUUGUCGAUGAAAUGCCCAAGCUUGUGGAGAGAUGGAUACAGGGAGUAGUAGCAGGUACAUGUCCAAAUAUGGAUGUUGAGAAAUCCUCCUCGGCUGUCGAUUUCGAAUGGUCCCCACGUUUCAAAUUGAUUUUAGUGUUCUUGCUGGGAGUAGGUUUGCACGCGGCUGAGAUUGGGUUUAUCUGUUUGUUGCAAAUGAAUGAAUUGAAUUGGUUGGUUUUUUAUUGGGGGUGGGUUUUGCAAGCAAGUUGAGUUGUUUGAUUGGUUUGAAGUUUUUUUUGUCUUGAUUGGGUUUUGUAAAAAAUGCUAGCAGAAUACUGACAAUGGAGGAGAAGGUGGAGGAAGGAAAAAGAAGGUGGAGGAGAUGAAUGAUUUUUUUGGUAGCUGAGUUAUUAUUAUUUAAUGAAAGGAGGUAAAUAAAAUUUACCUAACUAAGCUGACGUGACCAGUGAUUGUUAUGUGGCGUCGGACAUGGUAUCUUGAUGAUUUUCUUCUUACGGCGUUUCGUGUUUGGUUAACUAUAACGGUCAACGACAAAGUCAACUGAUUUUCGUUAGUGUGAUUUGAAUUUUGUCAGAAAAAAAUGUAUUUCGGAAAACAUGUGCCAGAUCAUUUGUCGGGUUAAAACAUUGCCAAUUGUGUUAGCUAAUUUUUCCUAAAAUAAGUUAGUGACAUUUUAUCAAGUCGAUCUACACUACAGGAAACUAGAUGUUUAACAACAUCAUUUUUUCUUGUUGACGACAACCAUUUCCUGUUGUUAUGUAUCAUAACGGCGGCUUUGAUUGCGCUAUUAAGAUUGCCAAUGCAAAGAGAUCCUACCAGCGAAAUAUUGGCCGCGGUUAAGUGGGGAAGCGUAACAGCGAAUAGCUGGCCGCUGUUAGGUUGCAUCCUAAUAGCGAAAUAUGACCGAUGUUAGACGAAAUUCUAAUAGUGGCAUUGUGUCCGUUGUAAGGAUUUCGCCUAACAGCAACUACAUAUCCUCAUAGUUUUCUUAUUAUUUUAUUUUUUUCGUUUGGCUAUUUUCCAUAUAUAUCCAACUUGUUCAAGUAAUUUUUUCGAUAGGUAGAUAGAAAUACAAAUUUGGGAAACACUUUGCUAAAUAUAAAACUAGUCAUUUUGAUUAAAUAUUUGAUUGUUAGGACACAUACUAAUUCCUUGGCUUAAACUACACCAUCCUUCUAAAGUAACUACUUGAUUCAUAGUUGUUCAUCCAACAUGUACAAUCCACUAAACAUAGACUACUCCUCUUGGUCGUAAUCAAGCUCAUCGUCCCUCUCAUUUGUUUCCAUCAUAGUGCUCGUUCACAUUUGUUUGCAUCAAAUGGCUGCCAUCAUACAUUUGGAUUUAGAACAUCUGCCUCAUCUCCUCCAAAUCAUGAGAUAAGCCAACUUGAGAGUUGGCAAGAUGAGCUAUACACCUACAAUACACCAAAUAAAAGUUAGUUUUUUUAUCCAAAAAAAUUUGCAUGACCAAUUCGAAUUCACGGUUUAACUUAUACUCUUUGAUCUACAAAAUGAACAAACGAUACUAGAUUUGGAAGGACAAGUUUCGACAGCUACAAUGAAUCAAGGAAACCUUUUACAUCUACAUUAUCAAAACAUAAUUGCAGAAUUAAAAGUAUAAACCAUGAGUAAGGUUGAAUGAUAAAAUUUUCACUAUUUAGAGGUGUCGGUUAAAAUGUGCAAAUUGGAUAAUAAAUUUGCAUGGGAAGGAUGAUUAUGUAGAUUACGUAAUAAACUAACAAAUACAUAUAUACUUAUGAUUUGAAUGGGACUUGUAAGUUAAAAUUGGAGGCGCCCCUCUUAAUUUGUACCUAUUGUAUGUUCACUAACCACCCAUAAUAAAAACAAGCAAGAAAAAUUGGAUUUGGUGGAUCACUCGAUGAAGAAACAAGAUUCGAAACUAGCCCUCAUAACUUGAUUAGGUGAAGUUUCUACCUAUAACAGUCCAACUUAGUGGUAGAAUUAAUUUAGGAUUAAUGCUGAAAAAUACAAAUACUUAUUCAUUUUGCUUUCACUCUAAAUCCUAAAUGGCGCACCACUGUUCCUGACUUCUCUUUUUUGUUCUUCGAACGUAUACGAUAUGCCCUCGCCAUAGCAUCCUCCUUGCUAACCCCAUGUUAGUAUUUGGUUCCUUCAUAAACUGUUUGACUUCAACCUAUAUUCAAUCUCAAAAUCUUAAAUAUAUUAGAAUUGCAUCUUAUCAACAAAAGGUCAAAACACAAUAAAAUUAUAUGCAACUUACAUAAAAGUCUCAAGUAACAUAUGUUUCAUCUUCUCUUUCAUAACACUUGAAAAAGAACUCAGAUCUUCUUACUUCUUUUCCUUUCGCUUUCUUCUACAUUAUACGUUCUACAAUCAAUACAAAUUAACUUCUCAUGACUUUUGGAACAUAAUAUAAAGACGAUUGAUGAGAUGCUUACUUACCAUCUCUUCACGAAUUAUAUUGAAAGGUUUUGACCCUUUCGUAUGAUAGAUGUCUUGAUUAGAACGAUACCUUGUUUCUUUGCAGAUGCAGUCUAUAAAACUGCUAGUAAUUGACAAAUGACAAUAAUAAAUAUCAUUAUAUCAAAUAUAAGUACAAAUGUAAAACUUACUAGAGUUGGCUUCCCCUCCUAUAUCUGCAAAACAUAUCCCACUCACGUUCAUCAAUAUUUGGUGGUUUCCUGUCUAAGUUGAGCUGAAGACCUUGAGUAGCAUCGAUAUUUGGUGGUUUCCUAUCACGUUCAUCGAUACUAAUCAAUUUUCUUUGGAUAUGACUAAUGUAAUGAAGAAGAUAGAAGAGAUUAAAUCUAAAACCCUUAUGAUUACCCUGCAUUCAUAAAGACUGCAAUGCAAUAUGUACAGAGAGGCGUGGACACAUAGCAAAGUCCUUACAAUUUUGACAAUUACCAUCCAAUACAAUUUUGUAAGCUACAGCUAACAUUCAUGAGCUAAUAAGUUUUGUCAGGUCGGUUACGAAAGAAAACACACUUAACUUCAUAAACAAUAAUAAAUUAUGAAAACCCCCAAAUCAAAGUUAGGGCUCAUCUAAAUCAUUAACAAAUCAUACAAACUGAUUUCAAUCUCAAAAUUAAACUUAGACCCAGCACUAUAAAUAAGAUGUCUAACCUAAAGCUAGAACAAAACACUUCCAAUUCACUAAACGGAAAACAUUUCAAAGAUCUAGAUUUUACUAACCUUUCAAUUUUCUUGCUAACACAAGAUGACUGAUUGAGAUGAUGGACAGGAACCAAAAUGAGCCGCAGCUGGAAGGCCGGAGCAAGCGACGCCGGCACGAAGAAGAAAAACGCCAGCGAACGGCCGUUGGUGAAGAUACUAUCUGGCUGUGUCCUUUGUUCAAUUUGGGGAAAGUUGGGUUUUUACGUGGUGUUGGGGGGUUAUAUGUAUUUGGAGUUUCGUUUAUAUUAAUAUAAUGAAGAAUUAAGUCUCAUUUUGUUUGGGGCUUUAAAUUAAUAACCCAACGUCGGCUUGAUUCUCUACAUAGCCGCUGAUAGGAUUACUCUUAGCAGCUGCCAUCUAAAUAAGAGCCACUGUUAAGUUGUUGUAUUCCAUCAUAUUUUUUAAUUAUUAUCCUAACAUCGGCCAAUAUUAAUCAGGGCCGAUGUUAGGUAGUAAUAACGUAUCAGUAGCCUUCCAUUUAUUGUUAGGAUAUUGACCUAACAUUGAGACCAUGUCCGUUGUUAAAUUUUGUAUGUUAAAAUAUCCUAACUGCAGGUCUAUGUGGCUACAGUUAAAUUGGCAAUAUUAGGUAGUCAGUUUCUUGUAAUGCUACCUUGUUUAUCAUAGAAAAUUUGUUAUGACAAACGUGAUUGUUGUUGUUACAUAACAACACUCUAAUUUUCCAUCUAUUUUUAAUUUUAAAAAUUUGACAGUCUUAAUUUGUUGAAUAUUUUUAAUCUUUUUUACAUUUUUAUCUCUCAUAAAUAUGUCCUAAUUUUUAGUUAAAGAAUCCUCAUUCAAUUUCUAUUUCUAUUUCUAUUUUUUUACCUAUAUUUAAUUAAGUUAAUAACUUAAUAUUUCCUUAAUUGCUUUUUACAGGUUGUCAACGGAGUUCUGGUACUCCCAACAAGUGAGAAGAACGAUCAGAUUAGUAACAGAGCACAAACAAAGGUACAAAAUAAAUUACCAUAUCACAGUCUCAGGUAUAUAACUCCAUACAAUAGCACAUUCAUGGGUACAUAACUAGACAAAAAUUAAUCAAAAAUUGAUACUUCAAUACACGAGGUAUAAAAUGCAGUACCAUAUCACAAACCCCUUUUUUUUUUUUUUUUUUUUUUUUUUUUUUUUUUUUUUUUUUUUUUUUUUUUUUUUUUUUUUUUUUUUUUUUUUUUUUUUUUUUUUUUUUUUUUUUUUUUUUUUUUUUUUUUUUUUUUUUUUUUUUUUUUUUUUUUUUUUUUUUUUUUUUUUUUUUUUUUUUUUUUUUUUUUUUUUUUUUUAUUUUUUUUCUUUUUUUUUUAUUGUCUGUUUUUUUCUUUUAUCCUGUUUUUCUUCCUUUUCAAGAUCUUGAAAAGAGAGAGAAAAUGAGAGAGAGAGAAUGAGAAAGAGAAAACGAGGGAAAGAGAAUGAGAGCAAGAGAGAGAGAGAGGAGGAGAAAUUUUUGGAGUUUUUUUAUUUUUAGUGGCUUUGAUAUUGAAAAUACUAUAUAAAGAAUUUUAGAUGAAAUCAGUCAGUUGAUACAAUUAUUGUUGUUAUGUGCUAUUAUCGUAUGAUAAGCGGGUGGGGCUUUUCUUGUUUUCGUAAACAUCAAGAUUUUAUUGGUUGGGUCUAUGAUUCCAGCCUACAUGAUACUCAAAAGGGCCCUGGUUCAUCUGGAAAUGAAAAGUGCUUUAUGAACGUUUGGAUUGGUGCUUCCUUGACUCGGUUUGGUAACUUCAAUUUCUACCCACCUAUAUCGUGUUAAGUCGGAUCACCGACCUAUUUUCAUGGUUGCGACCAAGCUCAAGAAGUCAAAUCUUCCUCAUACCUUUCGCUUUAUGGCUUCAUGGUUGUCACAUGUUGAGUUUAAGCCUUUUUUUGUCGGAAUGGAAUCGGUCUUUUACCUUUAUUCAUCAGAUGUCCAUUCGAGCUACCAAACUGAAAAAAUGAAAUAAGGAAAUUUUUGGCAACAUCCAAACGAAUAGAAGGAGCUUAUCUUUAAACUUGCUGAUGUUUAAGCUCUCGCAGCUCCUCUACUCAUUCAAGACACCACAAUGGACAUUGCAAGUGACCGGAAUACUCAUUUUUUUCACGUAUCCACCUUCCGUAGGCGUGCUCGGAACCACAUUAUUAAGUGAAGGAUGACUGUGGGGUGUGUAUUCAUUAGGUUUGGGAGUCGGUUAAUUUGGUUAAUAACCAUCGGUUAAUGGUCGGGAAGCGCUUUGAUGAUUGAAAUUAAUUAACCAAAUUAACCGACCGAGCAAAAGCCACGGUUAAUCUUACCGACCGAUAACCGACCAAUCAGUUAAAUGAUCGAUUAUUAACAGACUGACUCUCGGUUAACCGUUGUAACCGGCUCUGACCAAUUUAACUCUCUUCUCAUAUUGCAACAAGAUUCUAGGCUCUGGCUCUAGAUCCGUCGUCGAUUCAAGCCUUGGAGACCAUAGCUUCUCUUCUGGAAACAAUCCGGUGCUCUACAACUUGAUCCUUCGGGACUGGAAGCUUUCCGAGACGGCGUUGUUGCGGAUCAGUAAGGAGAGGAGGAAGCUUCAAGCCUAUGGUGUUGCAGAUCGAAGAAUUGAGAGAGUGGAGGAGGAGAGGAUUGGCCGUGGCGACGAAGGAAGCAUGUGGUGUUGCAGAUCGAAGAAUCGAGAGAGUGGAGGAGGAGAGGAGCGCUUGCGGUGACUCGUCGUGGUCGUCGUCGUGACUGCCGGCGAGAUGCUGAAAUUGAAUCGCUUGGAUUGAUAGAGUUGUCGAGAUGGAUUGAUGGAGUUGUCGAGAUGGAUUGAUGGAGAUGGCUCGGAGUUAACCUAAUUUCAGAAUGAGAGGUUGUGAUGGAGUGGGAGGCUGGGAGGGGAGGGAGCGAUUCUGCGAUUGUGGUGAGCAAAGCUUGAUUUCCUAAUUGGGGACCUUGGUUUUUUUAAUUACCGGUUAACGUUGGUUAACUCGAGUUAACCAACGAUUUUACCCUGCUCCAACAAGUACUCCCAACUGUUCCCCGACCGACCCCUACCUCGGUUAAACCGACACUCUAACCGAGUCGAUCAGUUCAUCUGUUUAACCUAUUAACCGAGACUGAUGGCCCACCCUUAGUAUUCAUCCAGCUUGUUGCUGCAAUUAGUGUCGUAUUGAUAUGGUUGAGAGAGGAUAAAAUAUGCUUGAUUUCAAGUUCUCCAACUUGAAAGGUUUAGCUGUUAAAAAUGUAGAGGUCAUGACUGAGUACUGAUUUCCAGCAAGGAGAAGUUGGAUAUUUGCUUGCGAUAAAAAAGAAUUUGGACAGUCUAUCUUAGGCACAAAAUCUAACGGAUGAGAUGGCAACUUUACUUCAGGGGCCUAUUGGUCAUUUUAAAAUUUUCUUGUUUUUCAGUUUAUUUUUCCAUUCUGUUUAAUAUUGGUUCAAGUAAAAUGAUUUCUUGUAAAUUGGGUCUAUUGAGUAACGUGGGUGGGUAGACUUUAUUGCUCCCAUCGAGCUUGACGUGAUAUUUUCUUCUUCGUUUCUUUAACAUGCAUAAAUUGUAUAUAAUACGAAAGGUUGGAAAUAUAUGUGAAGCUCGAGGUUUAUUAUAUAUGUUUCGAGGUUUAUUAUAUAUGUUGAACCUUUUUGCCAAUUGGUUAUUUUUAUCAUGUAGUGCCUUAUCAAGUAAAGGGAAUGGUUGUUUUUAUCUACUGUCACUAGCCAACUUUCUUUCUCAUGUGAUCAAUUAUUUGAUCACGCAUGAAUGACUACAGUACACAAAAGAUAGAAAUAUUAUAAAAACAAAAAACAAAUAUUAAAAAAAAAUACCUAAAAAGCAGGUACAUAACAACAAAAACAAUAACCGUAAAUAUCAAGUACAUGAAAGCGGAUGCUCAAAAUAAGCACGCACACAUUAAAAACUUUGGUACAUACAAGGCAAGAAAAUCGAGAACAUAUUGGAACUCGAGUACCGGAAUUGGUACGGUAUUAAGUACAACGUGAAGAAAUAUCAAGUACAUUAAAAAGCGAGUAUAUAACAAUAGAAAUAAGUACACGAAAACAACUCAGAGAAAUGAUAAUUUGAUUGCCAAAAUUGAGUAUGAUAAAGUAAAAUGCAAGCACGUAGUACAUGAAACAAAUAUGAGUAAGAGUACAUAAAUUUUUUAGUACAAUACAAGACAAAAACUCAAAUACAUAUAAAAACUGGACACUAAAAAAAAUAAUUAAUUAUUCACAAUUUUAAAUAAUAAUAGUCACGAUUUUUAUCAUGAUUAACAGAAGCUAGUCACGAAAAUAAAUCCGUAACUAACCUAACCGAUGCUAGAUGAACUUGUCACGAAUCUGAAUAACCUGUAACUAAGUUGUCACCGAAAUUUUCCGUGACCAACUCAUCACGGAAGAAACCGUGAACAUAUGUGUUUUUGUUUUUGUUUUUUAAAUUAGUGGCACGGAGCCAUAUGCUGUGAUAAUUGAUUUAUUAAUAAAUUAAUCCCACAUCUCCGUGGCUACUAUAUCACCAGAAUUUCCAGAUUCCGGCAACCACAAUUUCCAGAAUCCGGCAAUAAGAUAGAGUUGAUAAUUGCUUUUUUAUUAGAGUAAAAUGUUCUACAUCUAUACAUUAUGAUACCCAUAUCAAAAUUCCAGAAUCCCAAAAUUGAACAUAACGUCAACGAAAGGCACCAUGCAACAAUGGUGACACUAAGGGUUACAACAACCAGCAAAACCGAAACACAGACUGGAAAUGCUACCAAGAGAAGGAUGAGACUAGAUGAUGAGAUUGAGAUUGAGAGAAGAAAAAUGAUAGUAAGAAAUUUUGUUUUCGAGAGAGAUCAAAUGAAGAUGAGAUCUACUUCUAAUUUAAUAUAAUGGAAAUGGAGAUAUGGUUGUUUAAUGGCAAAGAGAGAAGAAAGGAAUAGCCCAUUAAACGAGGAUAGAGUCUGCAUCAUUUCUUUUUUCGACCUUUUCCCACUAAAAUGCUAAUUUUAAAAUUAUAAAUAAAAGUUGGUCACGGUUCCAACAUUUACCGUGAGUAGUUGGUCGCGGUAUUCAACAAUCCAUGACUAGUUAUGGAUUUUUUUUUAUCUAUAAGUAGUUAGUCAUGGUUUUUAAAGCCGUGAUUAAUAAAUCGUGAUUAAUCGUUGAUUUUUUUUGUAGUGCGAGUAUGAGUAUUGAGUAAAACGUCAUGUACAAAAACAAGUACAUCAAAAGCGAGUACAUAAUUAUCAAAACAAGUACUAAAACGAGAGGAAAAGUACAUAAAAAGCGAGUAUAUAAUAAUAGAAACAAGUGCAGUAAAAAUCAAGUGCAUGAAAGGAAAACGAAACUCAAACUAAACACUAAUACAAAAAAAACUUUAGUACGCAAAUAAGUAAAUACAAGAAAAUUAACAUACACAAACGAAUACAUAAGAGUAUAGUGUUUAAACAAAGCGAUUAUACGGAUCAAUACGAUGUUGAGUACAAAACAACAACUUGAGGCUUUAUCCCUCAUUUUUAGAUGAUUUUGUACUAAGUUCUUAUAUGUAUUAGUUUUUAUUAAUGUAAUCCCUCGUGUACUUUGUCUUUGGAUUUAUUUUUAUGCCAUAUCUAUUUAUUUACGCAUUUGUGUAUACUUAUAUUUUUA